rnacentral:rRNA from 1 species
CCUACGGGUGGCAGCAGUGGGGGAUAUUGCACAAUGGGGGGAACCCUGAUGCAGCGACGCCGCGUGGGUGAAGAAGCGCCUCGGCGCGUAAAGCCCUGUCAGCAGGGAAGAAAAUGACGGUACCUGACGAAGAAGCCCCGGCUAACUACGUGCCAGCAGCCGCGGUCAUACGUAGGGGGCAAGCGUUAUCCGGCUUUACUGGGUGUAAAGGGGGCGCAGACGGCGAUGCAAGCCAGGAGGGAAAGCCCGGGGCCCAACCCCGGGACUGCUCUUGGAACUGCGUGGCUGGAGUGCAGGAGGGGCAGGCGGAAUGCGUGGUGUAGCGGUGAAAUGCGUAGAUAUCAGGAGGAACACCGGUGGCGAAGGCGGCCUGCUGGACUGCAACUGACGUUGAGGCCCGAAAGCGUGGGGAGCAAACAGGAUUAGAUACCCUGGUAGUC